CGCGGCCUAUCAGCUUGUUGGUGAGGUAACGGCUCACCAAGGCGACGACGGGUAGCCGGCCUGAGAGGGAGACCGGCCACACUGGGACUGAGACACGGCCCAGACUCCUACGGGAGGCAGCAGUGGGGAAUAUUGCACAAUGGGCGCAAGCCUGAUGCAGCAACGCCGCGUGAGGGAUGACGGCCUUCGGGUUGUAAACCUCUUUUAGCAGGGAAGAAGCGAAAGUGACGGUACCUGCAGAAAAAGCACCGGCUAACUACGUGCCAGCAGCCGCGGUAAUACGUAGGGUGCAAGCGUUGUCCGGAAUUAUUGGGCGUAAAGAGCUCGUAGGCGGUUUGUCACGUCUGCUGUGAAAAUCCAAGGCUCAACCUUGGACUUGCAGUGGGUACGGGCAGGCUAGAGUGCGGUAGGGGAGAUGGGAAUUCCUGGUGUAGCGGUGGAAUGCGCAGAUAUCAGGAGGAACACCAGCGGCGAAGGCGGCACUCUGGGCCGGUACUGACGCUGAGGAGCGAAAGCAUGGGGAGCAAACAGGAUUAGAUACCCUGGUAGUCCAUGCCGUAAACGUUGGGCACUAGGUAUGGGAUCAUAUCAACGGAUUCCGUGCCGUAGCUAACGCAUUAAGUGCCCCGCCUGGGGAGUACGG
rnacentral:rRNA from 1 species